AGAUGUGAGGGCGAUCUGGCUGCGACAUCUGUCACCCUAUUGAUCGCCAGGGUUGAUUCGGCUGAUCUGGCUGGCUAGGCGGGGGUCUCCCUCCUCCCUCACUGAUCCAUGUGCGUCCCUCCCAAAGCUGCCCGCUUGGUGGAAGAGGACGACCUUCCCCCCAGAGGAGAGGACCGGUCUUCGGUCAAGGGUAUAGGAGCAGCUGUGCUCCCCUGCUAGAACCUCCAAACAAGCUCUCAAGGUCCAUUUGUAGGAGAACGUAGGGUAGUCAAGCUUCCAAGACUCCAGACACAUCCAAAUGAGGCGCUGCACGUGGCAGUCUGCCUUUCUUU
rfam:Myotis brandtii contig266855, whole genome shotgun sequence.